GUAUGAUCUCUCUUAUCCUGUAUCCAGUCCAUGGAGAAAGAUCCCUUCAAUGUUUGCAGAUCGGUAGAGUGUCAAGCAACAUGGUGGAAGCUCCACCACGUCUAUCCUGACCCCAUACUGUAGAUCUGCAAACAUUAAGGGCCCAAGGAGAAGGGGUACGGGAGCGAAUCGUUUCCAGCACGGUUCCAGGAACGACGGUUGAUGCAGUGUGAAAAGGCCAAGAUUAUUAAAACCCUGUAGAUUCAUUAUAGGAAUGGUGAAGCUAUGCAAAGAUACUUAACCAUUCUGAACCCUCUACGGCUGCUGCAAAAGGACCAAUCAGCUCCAAGCACCAACCUGGAAAAGGAAUGUGUGCAUUUGUUUGAUCUUCCUCAGUGCACCAGGUGGGCGGAGUUUGCGCUUUAGGUCUCAAACCCGGGGCGAGGUAAAACGAAUGGACGUAAUAACACUAGCCCAAUACAGCGGGGAAAGACGGCGUUUCAGUCACAGCGACAAGGGAAGGAAGAGGAGGUUCAUGUGAAACAGGCUCAAUUUGUUGGAUUAAAAAUACAUGAUUCCCCUCUCCAGCCUCACUCCUGCCGUCGGUUGGUUGACGAAUGGCUUAAUAAAAUGAAAUGUUCUCUGUGAAAUAUAUAAUGGGGUAGGUUAUCAAAAAUGUAAAAGAGGUAGCGCGACAUCAUAAAAGAGGAGCGUUAUUUGAAGAGGGAGAUUGUGUCCUUGUGAGUGAUGGUAUCUCAGGCCUGGGUGAGCCUCUGUGGCUGCACACAGUAUAAUCACAGUUAGGGUGGAUGGAGAGAUGAGGUUUAAGCCCAAACAGACACACUGGAAGACGUAUAACAGUAAACCACAUCACUGCAAGAAGUCAGCGAUAGACUACAAGGAGGUGUUAGGACAAUAGGUUUCAACUUGUAUUGUCACCUGAAAUCCACACCCGUCACCGUUGCGCAUUCCGUUUGCCAACAAUGCUUUGACAUAAGGCACCAAAGUCAAGUGAUUGUUGCGCCCGCCAGUAUUGUAACUUGUUAACCAUGUUUCUACCAUGUAUCAAGCUGCCCAUUUAAAGGUACAUGCUCUAGCAAUGUGAAAUAUAUUAUUAGAAUAACAAUCGACUUGAAGUUAAGGCACAAGUUAUUGAAGUGUGGGUUUAUGUGAACCGGUGUUUAUGGUGUUAUGGGAUGUCCAUGUGAAAUUAUGCAUUUAUGGUAGAAAUGUAUUGUGGGCUAUCAUGAUGGAACAUUCCUAGCUAAAGGGUUCCUGGAAAGAGUACUUAGGUGGUCAGUUGGCCUUUGCCUGGUGGGAGAGCAGGCUAGGUAUGUAAUCGGUUGGCUACAGUAGAGCCAUGCCUGAGUUUUGUUAUAGGCAACGAGUUGUUGUUUGAAUAGUUUAUACUGAGAAUAUCUUUGAUAUAGUCAAGUCUUUAUGUCAACAUCCCUUUUGUUAUUUUCUGUACAAAGUUAAUUGGCUAAUUAUUCCUGCACCUGUUUAGCUUGUAAAUAAAAACCUCUAAGAGAGGUGAGUACCAGAA